UACGAAGGGGGCUAGCGUUGUUCGGAAUUACUGGGCGUAAAGCGCACGUAGGCGGACUAUUAAGUCAGGGGUGAAAUCCCGGGGCUCAACCCCGGAACUGCCUUUGAUACUGGUAGUCUCGAGUCCGGAAGAGGUGAGUGGAAUUCCGAGUGUAGAGGUGAAAUUCGUAGAUAUUCGGAGGAACACCAGUGGCGAAGGCGGCGCACUGGUCCGGUACUGACGCUGAGGUGCGAAAGCGUGGGGAGCAAACAGG
rnacentral:rRNA from 1 species